ACGGUGAACCAUUCACCGUGUUUGAACACGGUGAAUGGUUCACCGUGUUCAACUUAACACACGGGCCCAGCCCUGCCCGCGUGGCGCUGACGUGGCGCCUGCGUGGCAGGCCCAGAGUCAUUUUUGCAAAUUAAAUUUUGACAGGGCUAUUUUUAAAAUAAAAAUUUGUCAGGAGUCUAAAUGCAAAAAAAGCCCUUAUUUUU
rnacentral:lncRNA from 1 species